UACGGAGGAUUCGAGCGUUGUCCGGAUUUAUUGGGUUUAAAGGGUGCGUAGGCGGAUUUUUAAGUCAGUGGUGAAAGCCUGCAGCUCAACUGUAGAAUUGCCAUUGAAACUGAAAAUCUUGAAUUUGGUUAAAGUAGGCGGAAUGUAUCAUGUAGCGGUGAAAUGCUUAGAUAUGAUACAGAACACCGAUAGCGAAGGCAGCUUGCUGAACCAAUAUUGACGCUGAGGCACGAAAGCGUGGGGAGCAAACAGGAUUAGAUACCCUGGUAGUCCACGCCCUAAACGUUGAUUACUCGUUGUUGGCGAUAUACAGUCAGCGACCAAGCUAAAGCGUUAAGUAAUCCACCUGGGAAGUACGACCGCAAGGUUGAA
rnacentral:rRNA from 1 species